GAUGAACGCUGGCGGCGUGCCUAACACAUGCAAGUCGAACGAGAUGCGUAUCGGAAAGCUUCGGCCGGAAGAUACGUUAUCUAGUGGCGGACGGGUGAGUAACACGUGGGUAACCUGCCUUAUGGAGGGGGAUAACAGAGAGAAAUCACUGCUAAUACCGCAUAAGCACACAUUGCCGCAUGGCAGAGUGUGAAAAGAUUUAUCGCCAUAAGAUGGACCCGCGUCUGAUUAGCCAGUUGGCAGGGUAAAAGCCUACCAAAGCAACGAUCAGUAGCCGAUCUGAGAGGAUGACCGGCCACAUUGGGACUGAGACACGGCCCAAACUCCUACGGGAGGCAGCAGUGGGGAAUAUUGCACAAUGGGGGAAACCCUGAUGCAGCGACGCCGCGUGAGUGAAGAAGUAUUUCGGUAUGUAAAGCUCUAUCAGCAGGGAAGAUAAUGACAGUACCUGACUAAGAAGCCCCGGCUAACUACGUGCCAGCAGCCGCGGUAAUACGUAGGGGGCAAGCGUUAUCCGGAUUUACUGGGUGUAAAGGGAGCGUAGACGGAGUGGCAAGUCUGAAGUGAAAACCCUGGGCUUAACCUGGGGACUGCUUUGGAAACUGUUAAUCUAGAGUGUUGGAGAGGUAAGUGGAAUUCCUGGUGUAGCGGUGAAAUGCGUAGAUAUCAGGAAGAACACCGGAGGCGAAGGCGGCUUACUGGACAAUAACUGACGUUGAGGCUCGAAAGCGUGGGGAUCAAACAGG
rnacentral:rRNA from 1 species